rnacentral:rRNA from 1 species
AGCGUAGACGGUGUGGCAAGUCUGAUGUGAAAGGCAUGGGCUCAACCUAUGGACUGCAUUGGAAACUGUCAUACUUGAGUGCCGGAGGGGUAAGCGGAAUUCCUAGUGUAGCGGUGAAAUGCGUAGAUAUUAGGAGGAACACCAGUGGCGAAGGCGGCUUACUGGACGGUAACUGACGUUGAGGCUCGAAAGCGUGGGAGCAAACA